rnacentral:lncRNA from 1 species
AAGCGAACUCCUCCGCCCCACUGUUCGAUCAGUGCUACAAGUCCUCCAACUCUGGACCCAUUUCAAAGAUGGGGAGAGAUGCAUGGGCGUAGUUGUGGAUGCCUGCAAUCUCAGCCCUCUGAGAGGAUGAGGGAAGAGGAUGGAAAGUUCCAGCGCAGCCUGAGACCCUGUCUCAAAAAAACCCAAAAAACCAAAACAAAGCUGGGUGUGGUGGCACACACCUGUGAUCCCAGCACUGGGAAGCUGAGGCAGGAGGAUCUCUGCUGGUGUCACAGCUGGGGUGGGGUGGAGGUAGCCAGUCUCCCCCAGGCACAUUUUUCUCUAUAUUUAUCGUGUUAGCUUUCUAUUUACAUAGGUUAACAUAUUCAGAUAUGUUAGAGGGCUGCAAAUUGACCGCCCCCCAGCAGGAACUUUAGCUGAGGCACUGAUCAAUGUGAAUUCAAGGCCACCCUGGGCUAUCUACCCGGUAAGAUCCUGUCUCAAAAAACCCUGAAAAUGUAGCUCAGUGUGAAGGCCCUGGGUUUAUUCCCCACCACCCAUGAAAGAAAAGCAAAAGGCAAGAGGAGGUGAUCGCGUGCUGGAGGUGGCAGGGCUGCUUAGUCCUGUGUCCCCUCUCCUUUCUCGGUGUCCAUAACGUGCUCCAGAGCGUGGGGGCUCGAGUGUCGCCGGAGGGAAUGGGAAAGACAUCAGACGAUGGCAGGACCAGUGGAUUGGUCAGGGCAGCCUUGGCCUCUGAGAGCUCAUUUUGCUCUGGGGUCCCCCAAAGACAGCCCCGGGGUCCUGGAGCCCCUCCUCACCCCCACCUGUUGUCACUGAGAUGGUGGCAGCGCAGGGGAUUCCCACCAAGAUGGUGGUAGUCAUGGGAUGAUGACUCAGGGCCGGCAAGGCCAGGCCACCUGAUCACAAGGCCUCAAGAGGGCCCUGCCAGGGGGUUCCCCGCUGUAAGUGUGCGGAGCAGGGCGAGGGCUGUUAGCAGGGGCAGCCUCUCCACCACUUCCCUGAAACCCACCACGGGUUCCAAAUGCCCUCGCCGGCCCUGGCUCGGGAGCAGCCCGGGUCCGACCCGAACUCGGCGGGCACUGCACGAGGAGGCGCCAUGCGGGGAGGGGCGCCGCCCGGCCUCGGUCCUCUGCCUGCUCUCUGCGCCCUGCGCCGGGAACCGCGGCCGGGUGGGGACCGCACUGCUGAGUCACAGCCAGGCCGGAGGAGGACACCUGCGGUCCCUUCGCCCGGGUCAGGGCUGGGCCGCUCUUGGGGUGCCCGCGUCCGGGGGCACUGCGCAGCGGCGAUGGCACUGAGGGGG